GACGAACGCUGGCGGCGUGCUUAACACAUGCAAGUCGAACGAAGUGGCGAACGGGUGAGUAACACGUGAGUAACCUGCCCUCUUCUUUGGGAUAACGGUCGGAAACGGCUGCUAAUACUGGAUAGUGGGGGAUGGGCUCGCGGCCUAUCAGCUUGUUGGUGGGGUGAUGGCCUACCAAGGCUUUGACGGGUAACCGGCCUGAGAGGGUGACCUGUCACAUUGGGACGGAGAUACGGCCCAGACUCCUACGGGAGGCAGCAGUGGGGAAUUUUGCACAAUGGGCGCAAGCCUGAUGCAGCCAUGCCGCGUGUAUGAAGAAGGCCUUCGGGUUGUAAAGUACUUUCAGCGAGGAGGCGUUACUCGCAGAAGAAGCACCGGCUAACUCCGUGCCAGCAGCCGCGGUAAUAC
rnacentral:rRNA from 1 species